UGGGGAAUUUUGGACAAUGGGCGAAAGCCUGAUCCAGCAAUGCCGCGUGUGUGAAGAAGGCCUUCGGGUUGUAAAGCACUUUUGUCCGGAAAGAAAUCCUUGGCUCUAAUACAGUCGGGGGAUGACGGUACCGGAAGAAUAAGCACCGGCUAACUACGUGCCAGCAGCCGCGGUAAUACGCAGGGUGCAAGCGUUAAUCGGAAUUACUGGGCGUAAAGCGUGCGCAGGCGGUUUGCUAAGACCGAUGUGAAAUCCCCGGGCUCAACCUGGGAACUGCAUUGGUGACUGGCAGGCUAGAGUAUGGCAGAGGGGGGUAGAAUUCCACGUGUAGCAGUGAAAUGCGUAGAGAUGUGGAGGAAUACCGAUGGCGAAGGCAGCCCCCUGGGCCAAUACUGACGCUCAUGCACGAAAAGCGUGGGGAGCAAAACAGGAUUAGAUACCCUGGUAGUCCACGCCCUAAAACGAUGUCAACUAGUUGUUGGGGAUUCAUUUCCUUAGUAACGUAGCUAACGCGUG
rnacentral:rRNA from 1 species